GAUGAACGCUGGCGGCGUGCCUAAUACAUGCAAGUCGAGCGAACAGAUGAGGAGCUUGCUCCUCUGACGUUAGCGGCGGACGGGUGAGUAACACGUGGAUAACCUACUUCUAAGACUGGGAUAACUUCGGGAAACCGGAGCUAAUACCGGAUAAUAUAUUGAACCGCAUGGUUCAAUAGUGAAAGACGGUUUUGCUGUCACUUAUAGAUGGAUCCGCGCCGCAUUAGCUAGUUGGUAAGGUAACGGCUUACCAAGGCAACGAUGCGUAGCCGACCUGAGAGGGUGAUCGGCCACACUGGAACUGAGACACGGUCCAGACUCCUACGGGAGGCAGCAGUAGGGAAUCUUCCGCAAUGGGCGAAAGCCUGACGGAGCAACGCCGCGUGAGUGAUGAAGGUCUUCGGAUCGUAAAACUCUGUUAUUAGGGAAGAACAAAUGUGUAAGUAACUAUGCACGUCUUGACGGUACCUAAUCAGAAAGCCACGGCUAACUACGUG
rnacentral:rRNA from 1 species